UACGUAGGGUGCGAGCGUUGUCCGGAAUUAUUGGGCGUAAAGAGCUCGUAGGCGGUCUGUCGCGUCGAUCGUGAAAACUCGGGGCUUAACCCCGAGCCUGCAGUGGAUACGGGCAGACUAGAGGUAGGUAGGGGAGAAUGGAAUUCCCGGUGUAGCGGUGAAAUGCGCAGAUAUCAGGAGGAACACCGGUGGCGAAGGCGGGUCUCUGGGCCGAUACUGACGCUGAGGAGCGAAAGCGUGGGGAGCGAACAGG
rnacentral:rRNA from 1 species